CCGGCACGGGUGAGUAACACGUAUCCAACCUGCCGUCUACUCUUGGACAGCCUUCUGAAAGGAAGAUUAAUACAAGAUGGCAUCAUGAGUUCACAUGUUCACAUGAUUAAAGGUAUUCCGGUAGACGAUGGGGAUGCGUUCCAUUAGAUAGUAGGUGGGGUAACGGCCCACCAAACCUUCGAUGGAUAGGGGUUCUGAGAGGAAGGUCCCCCACAUUGGAACUGAGACACGGUCCAA
rnacentral:rRNA from 1 species